UGGGGAAUAUUGGACAAUGGGGGGAACCCUGAUCCAGCCAUGCCGCGUGUGUGAAGAAGGCCUUAUGGUUGUAAAGCACUUUAAGCGAGGAGGAGGGUACUGGUAUUAAUACUACCAGGUACUGGACGUUACUCGCAGAAUAAGCACCGGCUAACUCUGUGCCAGCAGCCGCGGUAAUACAGAGGGUGCGAGCGUUAAUCGGAUUUACUGGGCGUAAAGCGUGCGUAGGCGGCUAAUUGAGUCGGAUGUGAAAUCCCCGAGCUUAGCUUGGGAAUUGCAUUCGAUACUGGUUAGCUAGAGUGUGGGAGAGGAUGGUAGAAUUCCAGGUGUAGCGGUGAAAUGCGUAGAGAUCUGGAGGAAUACCGAUGGCGAAGGCAGCCAUCUGGCCUAACACUGACGCUGAGGUACGAAAGCAUGGGGAGCAAACAGG
rnacentral:rRNA from 1 species